rnacentral:lncRNA from 1 species
AAGACAGCUGUCUGCCAGCCAGGAAGCAGGCCCUCGCCAAGAACCGAAUCUGCUGGCACCUUGAUCUUGGACUUCCCAGUGUCUAGAACUGCCGACCUUCCUCUGAGCUGUCAGUGCAGCCACACUUGUCCCUCCACGUGCACCCCCUCCUUUCUCCUUUGGGUCCAGCUCUGGUGGGUCUGCUGAGGGAGAGAUUAAGAGCUGGAGGAAAGUUACCUUAGCAACAGGAAACAGGAUGCAAAGCGCCGCCUACCGUGGCCUCCAUCCAUCCCUGGAGAGGCGGGAAGAACAGUGGGAGCGCUGGCCUAGAGGGCAGGAGGCCGUGUCCCUGCCUGGGUGCUGCUGCUCUCUGGCUGGCUGCUCCCUGUAAGUGCCUCCUCCCUGGGCCUGUUCUGGACAGAAUAGGGGCCGAGUGCUCUCUGGAUGGGUCAAGGAUGCUGUCCAGGAGCAUAGUCCUCUGGGGAGAAGAUCCUCCUGUUUCUGUUCUCGGUGGCUCCGGGAGCGAGAACUGUGCCAGGGAGCAAGUAUAUGCCAGCCAGUCUUCUGUGACUUAACUUGUCACUCGCCACCUGGGGUGCAGAAAUGUCUGACCAAGCAGACAAUCGAGCUCCAUGGAGGCUGGCACUUGGCAGCACCUGGCCUACCAGGAUGGGGGUUUCCUCAGCUGGCGUAGGA